CGGGGUGAGUAAUGCUUGGGAAUCUGGCUUAUGGAGGGGGAUAACUACGGGAAACUGUAGCUAAUACCGCGUAGUGCGAGAGACGAAAGUGCGGGACCGAAAGGCCGCAUGCCAUGAGAUGAGCCCAAGUGGGAUUAGGUAGUUGGUGGGGUAAAGGCCUACCAAGCCUGCGAUCUCUAGCUGGUCUGAGAGGAUGGCCAGCCACACUGGAACUGAGACACGGUCCAG
rnacentral:rRNA from 1 species